AUUGAACGCUGGCGGCAUGCCUAACACAUGCAAGUCGAACGGAAACGAUGGGAGCUUGCUCCCAGGCGUCGAGUGGCGGACGGGUGAGGUAAUACUUAGGAAUCUGCCCAUUAGUGGGGGACAACAUUCGGAAACGGAUGCUAAUACCGCAUACGCCCUACGGGGGAAAGCGGGGGAUCUUCGGACCUCGCGCUAAUGGAUGAGCCUAAGUCGGAUUAGCUUGUUGGUGAGGUAAGGGCUCACCAAGGCGACGAUCCGUAGCUGGGUCUGAGAGGACGAUCAGCCACACUGGGACUGAGACACGGCCCAGACUCCUACGGGAGGCAGCAGUGGGGAAUAUUGGACAAUGGGCGCAAGCCUGAUCCAGCAAUGCCGCGUGUGUGAAGAAGGCCUGCGGGUUGUAAAGCACUUUCAGUAGAGAAGAAAAGCCUAGGGUUAAUACCCCUGAGUCUUGACGUAACCUACAGAAGAAGCACCGGCUAACUCCGUG
rnacentral:rRNA from 1 species